CAGUGAGUAGUUUAAUUUAAAAUAUAGUAUUUGGAUUACUAAGAUUGGUUCACUGA
rnacentral:tRNA from 1 species